rnacentral:rRNA from 1 species
UGGGGAAUUUUGGACAAUGGGCGAAAGCCUGAUCCAGCAAUGCCGCGUGUGUGAAGAAGGCCUUCGGGUUGUAAAGCACUUUUGUCCGGAAAGAGAUCCUUGGCUCUAAUACAGUCGGGGGAUGACGGUACCGGAAGAAUAAGCACCGGCUAACUACGUGCCAGCAGCCGCGGUAAUACGUAGGGUGCAAGCGUUAAUCGGAAUUACUGGGCGUAAAGCGUGCGCAGGCGGUUUGCUAAGACUGAUGUGAAAUCCCCGGGCUCAACCUGGGAACUGCAUUGGUGACUGGCAGGCUAGAGUAUGGCAGAGGGGGGUAGAAUUCCACGUGUAGCAGUGAAAUGCGUAGAGAUGUGGAGGAA